UACAGAACCGUUGUCUGUGUUGUCUGUUGUGUUGUUCUCCACUACCUGCAGAACCGUCUGUGUUGUCUGUUGUGUUGUUCUCCACUACCUACAGAACCGUUGUCUGUGUUGUCUGUUGUGUUGUUCUCCACUACCUGCAGAACCGUCUGUGUUGUCUGUUGUGUUGUUCUCCACUACCUACAGAACCGUUGUCUGUGUUGUCUGUUGUGUUGUUCUCCACUACCUGCAGAACCGUUGUCUGUUGUCUGUUGUGUUGUUCUCCUGAAGUCCCUGAAACACAUGUCCAUACAUGUUCUAUACAUGUGCUUUUGUUGCUAAACUCAAUUCAUGUGUAAUAACUGGAUACUAAACUAAAGUCAUGUGUUAUAACUGGAUACUAAACUAAAGUCAUGUGUAAUAACUGGAUACUAAACUAAAGUCAUGUGUUAUAACUGGAUACUAAACUCAAGUCAUGUGUUAUAACUGGAUACUAAACUCAAGUCAUGUGUUAUAACUGGAUACUAAACUAAAGUCAUGUGUUAUAACUGGAUACUAAACUAAAGUCAUGUGUUAUAACUGGAUACUAAACUAAAGUCAUGUGUUAUAACUGGAUACUAAACUCAAUUCAUGUGUUAUAACUGGAUACUAAACUAAAGUCAUGUGUUAUAACUGGAUACUAAACUAAAGUCAUGUGUUAUAACUGGAUACUAAACUAAAGUCAUGUGUUAUAACUGGAUACUAAACUAAAGUCAUGUGUUAUAACUGGAUACUAAACUAAAGUCAUGUGUUAUAACUGGAUACUAAACUAAAGUCAUGUGUUAUAACUGGAUACUAAACUAAAGUCAUGUGUUAUAACUGGACACUAAACUAAAGUCAUGUGUUAUAACUGCACACUAAACUAAAGUCAUGUGUUAUAACUGGACACUAAACUAAAGUCAUGUGUUAUAACUGGAUACUAAACUAAAGUCAUGUGUUAUAACUGGAUACUAAACUAAAGUCAUGUGUUAUAACUGGAUACUAAACUAAAGUCAUGUGUUAUAACUGGAUACUAAACUAAAGUCAUGUGUUAUAACUGGAUACUAAACUAAAGUCAUGUGUUAUAACUGGAUACUAAACUAAAGUCAUGUGUUAUAACUGGAUACUAAACUAAAGUCAUGUGUUAUAACUGGAUACUAAACUAAAGUCAUGUGUUAUAACUGGAUACAAACUAAAGUCAUGUGUUAUAACUGGAUACUAAACUAAAGUCAUGUGUUAUAACUGGAUACUAAACUAAAGGCAUGUGUUAUAACUGGAUACUAAACUAAAGUCAUGUGUUAUAACUGGAUACUAAACUAAAGUCAUGUGUUAUAACUGGAUACUAAACUAAAGUCAUGUGUUAUAACUGGAUACUAAACUAAAGUCAUGUGUUAUAACUGGAUACUAAACUAAAGUCAUGUGUUAUAACUGGAUACUAAACUAAAGUCAUGUGUUAUAACUGGAUACUAAACUAAAGUCAUGUGUUAUAACUGGAUACUAAACUAAAGGCAUGUGUUAUAACUGGAUACUAAAUUAUUUUUACAUUUUAGUAGAUACUCUUAUCCAGAGCAAAUAGGAUUCAGUGUUUUGCUCAAGGAACAAACACAUCAAUAAGAUGUAUCUGGGCAGGUUUCUUUACUGAUCUUCCUGCCAUGGCCUCCCGUAUCAUCUCUGGUGAGGGAAAUACAUUUAUACCACAUUCCACUGGUCUCUACUGAAAUCCUACGACAUGCUGUUUGCAUAUAUAGUUUCUAUUAAACUGUUUGCUCAAAAUGUGUUUGUGUUAAUUAACAUGUUAUGGCUGAAAAUGUCAAUUAAACAGGUUCCUAAAUCAGCUGUGUCUGAAAUUAUUUCAUUCCACAUUUACAUUUACAUUUACACAUUCACAUUCACACAACCUUCAAGGAGUUUCUGCAGUCAAGUCUGUAUCACCCUCUUCAUCUG
ensembl:lncRNA